GGUGCUGUGGCGUAGCUGGUAAAGCCACAGCCUGCAAUGCUGGCAUCCCAUAUGGGCUCUGGUUCGAGUCCUGGCUGCUCCA
rnacentral:tRNA from 1 species